rnacentral:tRNA from 1 species
GCCUGGGUGGCUCAGUCGUUAAGGCAUCUGACUUCGGCUCAGGUUAUGAUCUCACGGUUAGUGAGUUCGAGUCCCACAUCGGGCG